GAAUGAAAGAAAGAAGAAAGGGAGAAGAUGAAAGAAAUGAAGAAGAAAGGAAGGAAUGGAGAAGAAAUGAAGAUCAAAUCAAGAUGGAAGAAGAUGAAGAUGGAAGCUCUCUUGAAAUGAAGAUUUAAAUAUCCAAGAAGAGGUUGUGAAAGCAUGGUAAAGUAAAGGAAAUGGUGGAAUGGCAUGUGGAAGCUUGGAAAGAAGAUUCAAGUGUAGGUUAUGGCUUAUGGAAGCCUAUGUUAUUGUGUUUGAGUCAUGAGAUGUAAAUUAAUUUGAUUAUUAAUGGUUUGUUAAACCUAAGAUCAUGUGUGUAUUUCAUAUCUUGAGAGCAUUUGAUUUUAUAUUAAGAUGAGAUGUUGGCUUAUGGCAUUUGAAGCCUAAGUUGUGAUGUAAGUCUCAUUGUUGAGGUAUGUUGUA